rnacentral:rRNA from 1 species
UACAGAGGUCCCAAGCGUUGUUCGGAUUCAUUGGGCGUAAAGGGUGUGUAGGUGGCGCCGUAAGUCGGGUGUGAAAUUUCGGAGCUUAACUCCGAAACUGCAUUCGAUACUGCGGUGCUUGAGGACUGGAGGAGGAGACUGGAAUUCAUGGUGUAGCAGUGAAAUGCGUAGAGAUCAUGAGGAAGACCAGUGGCGAAGGCGGGUCUCUGGACAGUUCCUGACACUGAGACACGAAGGCCGGGGGGAGCAAACAGG